rnacentral:rRNA from 1 species
UACGUAGGGGGCUAGCGUUGUCCGGAUUUAUUGGGCGUAAAGAGCGUGUAGGCGGCCAGGUAGGUCUGGUGUGAAAACUCGAGGCUUAACCUUGAGAUGUCAUCGGAAACCAUUUGGCUAGAGUCCGGAAGAGGAAAGUGGAAUUCCUGGUGUAGCGGUGAAAUGCGCAGAUAUCAGGAAGAACACCAAUGGCGAAAGCAGCUUUCUGGG